UACGGAGGAUCCAAGCGUUAUCCGGAUUUAUUGGGUUUAAAGGGUGCGUAGGCGGCUUAUUAAGUCAGGGGUGAAAGACGGUGGCUCAACCAUCGCAGUGCCUUUGAUACUGAUGAGCUUGAAUACACUUGAGGUAGGCGGAAUGUGACAAGUAGCGGUGAAUGCAUAGAUAUGUCACAGAACACCAAUUGCGAAGGCAGCUUACUAAGUGUUAUUGACGCUGAGGCACGAAAGCGUGGGAUCAAACAGG
rnacentral:rRNA from 1 species